rnacentral:misc_RNA from 1 species
UUUCCGUAGGUGAACCUGCGGAAGGAUCAUUCAUAAUAAAGUGUUUUAUGGCAUUUUUUAAAAAUCCAUAUCCACCUUGUGUGCAAUGUUAGAUCUCGUCAAUCUUGGCGAGAUUUUUAUACAUCAACUCAUUCUUUAACUAAUUUGUCUGAAAAAUAUUAUGAAUACUUAAUUCAAAAUACAACUUUCAACAACGGAUCUCUUGGCUCUC